UGGCUCAGUCCAUAAUGUGCUUUCCGUGA
rnacentral:piRNA from 1 species